rnacentral:tRNA from 1 species
UAGCUCAGUUGGUAGAGCGUUAGACUUUUAAUCUAACGGUCAGGGGUACGAGCUCCCU